GAUGAACGCUGGCGGCGUGCCUAAUACAUGCCAGUCGAGCGAACGGACGAGAAGCUUGCUUCUCUGAUGUUAGCGGCGGACGGGUGAGUAACACGUGGAUAACCUACCUAUAAGACUGGGAUAACUUCGGGAAACCGGAGCUAAUACCGGAUAAUAUUUUGAACCGCAUGGUUCAAAAGUGAAAGACGGUCUUGCUGUCACUUAUAGAUGGAUCCGCGCUGCAUUAGCUAGUUGGUAAGGUAACGGCUUACCAAGGCAACGAUGCAUAGCCGACCUGAGAGGGGGAUCGGCCACACUGGAGCUGAGACACGGUCCAGGCUCCUACGGGAGGCAGCAGUAGGGAAUCUUCCGCAAUGGGCGAAAGCCUGACGGAGCAACGCCGCGUGAGUGAUGAAGGUCUUCUGAUCGUAAAACUCUGUUAUUAGGGAAGAACAUAUGUGUAAGUAACUGUGCACAUCUUGACGGUACCUAAUCAGAAAGCCACGGCUAACUACGUG
rnacentral:rRNA from 1 species